rnacentral:lncRNA from 1 species
AAGAGAUUGAGGACGAGGCGGUGGUGCCAGGCACCCCAGCGGUACUAUUGUUGUGGAGUCACGGGCGAUACUACCGCUGUGGAGCGGUACUGCCGCUUAUGGCUCCUCAGCGGUACUACGGCUGGGUUGCGCGGUACUACUGCUGGGACCCAGACAGGACAAAGAAAAAUGGAGAGAUCUUUUCAAUGGAAUGGAAAAGCUCAGAGGGUGAGAAGCUGAUGUGUACGAGUUGAUUCCACCCAUGCAAUACCCCAGCAGACCCUCUCUUGAUAGAACGGUGCCCUCUACGUAACUAGUCCACCAAGAGAGAAACGAAAGAGCUACACCGUCUUGAAAGACAUUCCGAAGGGAAGAAAACAUCUCGUGCGAGGGAUGAAUCUGUGAACUAUUCAAAGCACAUGAUUAGUCUGCAAACAUGUUGUCAUCAAUCACCAAAACUAUCUUGAGAGAGAUAUACCGUAACAACUAUUUUUAAUCAUGAGCCACACCCUUACCCAGAGUAGUAUAGACAAUAUGACACCGCAACCUAAAACGGUAUUCAUAGCUUAGGAGCUGCCAAGUUCAUGUAUUUUCUGUUAGCCUUUGCAAGCUAGCUCUGGCAUAGAAAGCAACUUUUUAGCCAGGAAAAAAAUCAACUUACAACUUCUGUUAGUUCAGAUCCAAGGUAGAGUUGCUAACAUAAUAAAUUCCAUAGCUAAAUUUAGUCACAUACCCAACACUUAUCACCAUAUUGUGUGUUCAUCCAACAUCGUGACAGCAGCCUAAGUCACAACUUGUGACUGUCAAAAAUUCUCAAGAGAAGGAUGUAAAAGAGUUGUAUUACCGUUCACAAGACAAAAUUUGGGCUUAGUACUGAGGGUCAAAAAAAGCUUAUUCAUACACCCAGUCCCUCAUGUUUCUGCAUCUACAAUUGUUGUGAUGACAAUCUUCAGUUAUAUACUCUAACUCACUUCUUCCUACAUUUCACUUAAUCAAAUUAGUUGCAAAUGUGCUUUAGCUUUUAAUACCACCUUAUUCUGAAGUGGUAGACCCUGCAUCCUAUUAUAUACCUACCUGUACAAAAAAAUUAGAAAAGGAGGAUGACCCCCGGCCUCUGUAUCUGGGCGAUGCAUGCGGCCACUUUUUAUUGGGGGAGAAUUUCAUUUCCCCGGCCUCUGCACCAACUAGGGAUGCAUACGGCCUUUUAAGUAUGAGUACUAGGAUUUUUAAUCUCGAUUACGCACCGAGCCCAGUCCUCAAUAAGUGCGUGAGUACCAGGAAAGCCUGGUCCUCAAGAAUAAAUAGGAACCUAAAUUCGCCUCCGUGAGGAUUCAAAACCAGGUGUUGGGUUUGUACAUCCACUCCCCCAACCAGUUGAGCUAGGCUCACUCCCCUUGUUAACCGAUUCUUUGCAUUUUAAUCUCCUGAAAGUCUUGCUAGCCUUCGGUUUUCUUGGCAUUCUCUUAAAUUUCCUGUCCAAAAGGUAGUCUGAAAUAUGAAUUGCCAAACCAGUUAAUUGGUUAUACUUCAUAGGAACAUAAUGUGUUGUAUGAUAAUAGCAAAGUAUUCCAUGCAGGAAAUUCUUAUUAGUGGGAGCGACCAUAGUCCAUACCUACUUCAAAAAUGAAAAUGAGAUUGAGAUGUCCAAUGCGUCUUGCCUUGUUCUCCUUGCCCAGAAUACCGUUGACAAUUAGGCAUUUGGUCCAACAAAUAGCAUUGCCCAGGUAGAAUAGCACACGCAUGGCAUUAGCUGCAUUACACAGGUAGAUUCAGCACACAUCGUACAAGGAUUCUAUUAUUCUUAGCACAGACUCGAGAGAGAUACUGCAUGUGUAGCAGCAGCAAAGAUCAAAAUCGCGGGAGAUUACAUUUCGCGGCAGCUCAUCUCUAACGCUACAGCAGCUAAGUCAUUUAGCGGGAAUUACUACAGGGCAUUUUCAGCAGAAAAACAGGUGAUUUUCGUCAGGAAAACAGAUUUACUCGAACUGAAAAAGGGUAAAGCACAAGAAGUGAACAAGUGAAGAACUCAAGAUUGACAUGGGGAUGUACUUGCUAAUGGUACUGCAUCCACAAAUGGACAGAGAACGCUUGCCUAUACUUGCUGGGAGUUGGAGAAGACGUUGCGGACUCGUCGCCUUGCCGCCUCACCCGUCACCUCUGGCUUGUCGCCGUCGGCGCCUCACCCAUCACAGCUUCAUGCUUGUCGCCGCCUUGCCCAUCAUUGCCUCUCUCUGGCUUGCCGCCUGGAUCCCUAUUCACCGCCUUGUCGCCUCGCCCAUCACUGCCUCCAGCCUGCGGUGAAGCAGCCGCCGGCCUGCCGGAAACUCCUCAGAUGCGAGGGACUGAACGGAGCGAUGCUAGAUUUCCUGGAGGUCCUGCUCUGCCGUGGCAAAUUUUGGUCCCAGAUGGAC